rnacentral:rRNA from 1 species
UACGAAGGGGGCUAGCGUUGCUCGGAAUCACUGGGCGUAAAGGGUGCGUAGGCGGGUUAUUAAGUCAGAGGUGAAAUCCUGGAGCUCAACUCCAGAACUGCCUUUGAUACUGAUAGUCUUGAGUAUGGGAGAGGUGAGUGGAACUGCGAGUGUAGAGGUGAAAUUCGUAGAUAUUCGCAAGAACACCAGUGGCGAAGGCGGCUCACUGGCCCGGUACUGACGCUGAGGUGCGAAAGCGUGGGAGCAAACAGG